rnacentral:rRNA from 1 species
GAUGAACGCUGGCGGCGUGCCUAAUACAUGCAAGUCGAGCGAACGGACGAGAAGCUUGCUUCUCUGAUGUUAGCGGCGGACGGGUGAGUAACACGUGGAUAACCUACCUAUAAGACUGGGAUAACUUCGGGAAACCGGAGCUAAUACCGGAUAAUACUUUGAACCGCAUGGUUCAAAAGUGAAAGACGGUCUUGCUGUCACUUAUAGAUGGAUCCGCGCUGCAUUAGCUAGUUGGUAAGGUAACGGCUUACCAAGGCAACGAUGCAUAGCCGACCUGAGAGGGUGAUCGGCCACACUGGAACUGAGACACGGUCCAGACUCCUACGGGAGGCAGCAGUAGGGAAUCUUCCGCAAUGGGCGAAAGCCUGACGGAGCAACGCCGCGUGAGUGAUGAAGGUCUUCGGAUCGUAAAACUCUGUUAUUAGGGAAGAACAUAUGUGUAAGUAACUGUGCACAUCUUGACGGUACCUAAUCAGAAAGCCACGGCUAACUACGUGCCAGCAGCCGCGGUAAUACGUAGGUGGCAAGCGUUAUCCGGAAUUAUUGGGCGUAAAGCGCGCGUAGGCGGUUUUUUAAGUCUGAUGUGAAAGCCCACGGCUCAACCGUGGAGGGUCAUUGGAAACUGGGAAACUUGAGUGCAGAAGAGGAAAGUGGAAUUCCAUGUGUAGCGGUGAAAUGCGCAGAGAUAUGGAGGAACACCAGUGGCGAAGGCGACUUUCUGGUCUGUAACUGACGCUGAUGUGCGAAAGCGUGGGGAUCAAACAGGAUUAGAUACCCUGGUAGUCCACGCCGUAAACGAUGAGUGCUAAGUGUUAGGGGGUUUCCGCCCCUUAGUGCUGCAGCUAACGCAUUAAGCACUCCGCCUGGGGAGUACGACCGCAAGGUUGAAACUCAAAGGAAUUGACGGGGACCCGCACAAGCGGUGGAGCAUGUGGUUUAAUUCGAAGCAACGCGAAGAACCUUACCAAAUCUUGACAUCCUUUGACAACUCUAGAGAUAGAGCUUUCCCCUUCGGGGGACAAAGUGACAGGUGGUGCAUGGUUGUCGUCAGCUCGUGUCGUGAGAUGUUGGGUUAAGUCCCGCAACGAGCGCAACCCUUAAGCUUAGUUGCCAUCAUUAAGUUGGGCACUCUAAGUUGACUGCCGGUGACAAACCGGAGGAAGGUGGGGAUGACGUCAAAUCAUCAUGCCCCUUAUGAUUUGGGCUACACACGUGCUACAAUGGACAAUACAAAGGGCAGCGAAACCGCGAGGUCAAGCAAAUCCCAUAAAGUUGUUCUCAGUUCGGAUUGUAGUCUGCAACUCGACUACAUGAAGCUGGAAUCGCUAGUAAUCGUAGAUCAGCAUGCUACGGUGAAUACGUUCCCGGGUCU